CUUUACUACAGCUUUGCAGUGGUAUUAGGGAUUACUUGUGUAGGAUAGGUGGGAGGCUUUGAAGCUUGGGCGCUAGCUCAGGUGGAGCCAGCCUUGAAAUACCACCCUGGUGAUCUCUGAUAUCUAACCUGCUUCCCUGAUCGGGAAGAGGGACCCUGCAUGGUGGGUAGUUUGACUGGGGCGGUCGCCUCCCAAACAGUAACGGAGGCGCGCGAUGGUUGGCUCAAGCUGGUCGGAAAUCAGCUGUUGAGUGCAAAGGCAUAAGCCAGCCUGACUGCAAGACUAACAAGUCGAGCAGAGACGAAAGUCGGUCUUAGUGAUCCGGUGGUCCCGUGUGGAAGGGCCAUCGCUCAACGGAUAAAAGGUA
rnacentral:rRNA from 1 species